UCCCGCACAGCCGCACUCGCGCCGUCCCCUUCCUCUUCCUCCCGCCUCACCUCUCUCUCCUUCCAAACCCUAGGCCCGAGCCCGCCGCCGCUGCUCUGCCCGAGCCCGCCGCCGCUGCUUCCUCCUUCCCCGCUGGCGCCCGGCCUCCUCCCCUCACGUCCUCCUCCUUCUACCCCCUCCCGCCCCGGCCCCGGCUCCCGCAGGAGGGAAGCAGGAAUGGCGAGGCGAGGCAAAGGCGGCGUAGGGGACACGGCGUGGCGCAGGUGGGUCGGCACGGUCGCGGCUUCUCUUCUUAUCUCCCGGGAGUGGGCCACAGCCAUGGAGAGCGGCCAGAGGAGCAAGGACGGCCAACCCCUGCCUCCUCUCCAGCACGUGUUGGGGAUUGCGGGCAACGAUUGAAUCUGCAGAUUGGUUCGCUCAAGGAUGACGAGGAGAUGGCCGACUCCAGGGAGCAGCAGAAGGAGGAGGGGCACGCAGCGCCGGCCGGGCUGAUGUGGAGGGGGCUGCGAGCUCGACGUGAGAGCAGCGGCAGGGACGAGCUCAGCAGGCUCUUCUACUGCGCCUGCUAGACCUCGAGGGACCUAUCUACUAUGAUACCAUAUACAUGCUUAUGGAAGGCACUCAACAGCAUAUUCUAGAAAAAAUAAAGGUUUAUUAUCCAGGUAUAUUUAUCUACUAUUGUACUUGAGACCUGACAUUCAAAAGGAAAAUUUCAAUAUUAAUAGCUGAUAAAGAAACGCUCCACAGUUAGUCGAUACACAUGUACCAAUCUGGAGUUAGUAUACAUGCUUGAGAUCUGGUCCUAUUGUUAGUUUGGUUUGCUAUUGAGUACAUUUGGUUAUAAUUAGAAUUGCAAUAGUUUCGUUAUAGGAUCUAAGGGACAUUUAGAAGUUUGGCAAAAGACGUCAUCUACUCAUGAAUAAUCUCAUCAUCUGAAAAUGGAUUCAGAGUUAGGCCACUUACACAUCAUGGUAAACCUCCUAGUUCCCAUUUUGUCUGUAUUUUUAAAGGGGUGCUAAAAUCCUGGAUGGUCAUUGGAUAGUGGAUUAGCAUCAGUGCUUAACUAAGUCCCUGGAAAUUUGGAUAAGCAGUUUUUCUUUGAAGUGUAUAUGGUUCUAGACUUUCUUUUUGUGGUAAAGGAAGAAUCUUGGAUGAUCUUUGGACAGUGGAUUAGCGUUAGUGCUUAAAUAAGUCCCUAGAAAUCUGGAUGAACAAUUUUUUUUAAAUGUAUAUGGUUCUACUGGUAAUCAUUAAUCUGUAACCUUGUGCUUGCUUGUGACCAGUAAGGUUGUGACGGGUUGUCAUCCCAUGGUUUUUCUGCAGCGCCGUCACUGCCAUCCUUAACAUACAGAAGAAGUUCGUCCCAAGCUUCAAGACUCUAGGGUCAAUUCCAUAGAAGGUAAUUUCCUUAGAUAUUGGUAUUGUUGACAUUUGGUUUUUCCGGCUUCUGGUUGCUGUUAUACUUUGUUUAUUCAUGCUUUUGUUUGUAUUUAAAUUUGCCUAAAGAUAUGUUCAAGUUCAUACCUGCAGUUCAAUAGCUAUUGCCUGAAAUCUGCUUUCUACCUGUGCUUUUUAAGUAUAUAUGCCUAUAAAGUGUCCUCUAUUGCUUUCUUAAAUUCUGGAGUCUGCUAUGUAAUGAUGGCAUCGACAGAUUUUGUUGCAGGCAGUACUGAAAAGUAAAUAUAUUGAACAGAUCAAAUUGCAAGAUUAGUUAGCUUUCCUCCUGAUUACAUUUUCUCUUACAUUUUCAAUGCUUUGUCUACCAUGCUUUCUCAUGUCCCUGGUGCCUUUUUUGUUUGAUAUGAAGUAAAUUUGCACACUGGAUGGGGCGACCAGGUUGUGGCAACUUGGCGGCAUGGCUAAUGAAUAAAGAAAAUAGCAAUAACUGAUUGAUUUUAGAUCUCAUGUGCCUGCAAAUCUUCUGUUCUUGCCGUUUAUGUGCUGGAUCUGUUGUUGCAUUCGUCGAUCUGUUGUUGGUUCUUAAUUUAGUCUGGUAAAGAGUAAGUUGCACUUUGUUGGUCCAUUUGGGUUAUGGAUUUUUUUUAUUAUGAUGGCGAGACACACCUAUGGUGAGAUUCUAUUUCGAUGAUGAUGUGCACUCUUCACACCUCGCUCUGAAUUGGCACGAGAAGAUCGUUCUAGAUUGGAAUCCAUAUAACUUUAAGAAGGUCAAUGUCUGUUGUCUUUCUCUCUCUGACUGCCUCUCCUCCCAUUGACUUGGCAUGCUGGUCACCGCCGUGUCUCCUGCUGGCUUGCCCCUCGCCCUCGUCGAGAGGGUUGUGUGGGCCGUCCUACAUUUUAAUCCACAUAACUUUGAAAAGGUCGCCACCAUGUCGUCUCUCUCUCUCUCUCUCUCUCUCUGACCGCCCCUCCCGUUGCCUUGGUUUGCUGGUUGCUGUAGUGUCUCCCGCCGGUUCGUCCGUUGCCAUCGCUGGAAGGGUUGUGUAGUCCGCCGCUCAUGCCAGUACUCUGCAGUGACCAGUGAGGACCAUGGCAUCGAGACAGCCCAAAAGGAAACACCGCCGGCUAUAGCACCGGUUGAGGCCACCCUGUCUGUCAGCCCACAACAUGUUUGCAUGCUUUGCCCUUGUCUCCUACUUCUCUCGCCUUGCUGGUCCUUGUACUAUGCCAUGUCGCCGAACCAGUCGCCAUGGGAUGCUUAACGUCGUGUUGGAUGAUGCCACACAUGAUUUAGGUUUCUUCAUCUGACGAAGAAUUUAUGGUGGAUGAUAUUACUCUGGGAGGAAUUAUCAGGCACACAACCAACGAGCGGUGGCAGAAGCAACUUCUCCCUUGAACUACAUGCCAGGGCAACUUUAUUCUAAGAGGCUCCAAAAUCUGAAGAAAGAUGUGGCUAUGCAGGAUGCCAAG